rnacentral:rRNA from 1 species
AGCAGUAGCCACGGUAAUACGAGGGGGGCAAGCGUUAAUCGGAAUUACUGGGCGUAAAGCGUGCGUAGGCGGUUCGUUAAGUCUGUUGUGAAAGCCCCGGGCUCAACCUGGGAAUGGCAAUGGAUACUGGCGAGCUAGAGUGUGUCAGAGGAUGGUGGAAUUCCCGGUGUAGCGGUGAAAUGCGUUGAGAUCGGGAGGAACAUCAGUGGCGAAGGCGGCCAUCUGGGACAACACUGACGCUGAGGCACGAAAGCGUGGGGAGCAAACAGGAUUAGAUACCCCAGUAGUCCCUGUCUCUUAUAC